GUUAAACUCAACUUGCUGUUGGUUUUUUUCCCAAUAUUUGUGUGGUAAAAAUGAGUUAUAUAAAAGGCAAUUGCAUUUAUAAUUUUCUUUCGGGACUUAAAAAAUACAACAGCCAUACCAUACUGGCAAAUCUGUUGUGAGUAUUUUUUUUUAAAAAAUGCUAAAGUUAACAGUUAUCGUUUAACUGGAUAAUUAUCUAGUUUUUUUAUGAGGGUUUUCGUAGUUUGAUAAAUGCGAUAACAAAUGUUUUCCAAUUAAAGCAGUGUCGAGUUGGAUUUUAAAUAAUCGAAACUUUUACAGGUUAAACUUUUCUUUAUCAAUCGAAUAGGACGAUUCAAUUAGAAAAAAAACCUUUUGGCAAACAUAAAAAUAAGGAGAUAUGAUAUAAUUGACAAUAAGACAACUCUCUAUCCGAGAGGAAACUGACACAAAAGUAACUAAGAUGUCUAUUACACUAGCCUGAUCUUUGUUGUCAUUAAGUUCAAUGUAUGUCGGUCAUUUUGUGAGGGUAUAUGAGUAUGUUCAUUAUUGUUGGUUUGUUUGUACAUCCGUUAGAAAACCCUUUAAUAAAGUGUGACUGUAUAACGCUAUGGGGUAAAUAAUACGCGCAUCAUCCGGUCGGUUAAAAUUGUCAAAUCCGAAGGCUAGGGUAAGUAUUGUAGGAAUAACAUUAUCUGCAACAUCCCUUUAUUAACGGGAAGUUGUAGAUGUUCACUGAUGUAUCAGUGCAACUAUAUUAUGGUGCUUAUUUUUUGCCAAUUUUGCAGAACAUGCCAGUCAUAUUGAUUGAUACGUAACCAGAGCUGGAUAUAUUCUCCUGUUUUUAAGAAAUCAACAGACAACAUCAGUUGUACAACAUGUGAUGUAACAUUUAUCAAUUGAGUCAAACUAUUUAAAUAUCAUCCUUUUUUUUAUUGUGUACCACAAUUGAUGUAGCCCCUAUUAUUUGAUUGAGUAACAUGUAAUUAUGUUUUUUAUUAUGUUGUAGGUUCGAAAUGAACAUUGUGAAUAACAUCUCGAUGGGAGACGAUUAAGCCAUGAAAAUCUUCGUCUUGUGGAGGAACGACGUUCAUAACACCCACAAAAUAUUUCCACGUUUCACAAGUGUCGUAUUGACUUUGUCAAAGACUUGCUUGGUUUUUCACUUUUUAUUUCUUAUAUUAUUUUGAACAAUUGCGAACAUAAAGAGCGUAUAAAAAAGUAAUAAAAGUUCAAUGACAUGUUUAAAAUAAUACAAAUUAUGUAAUUUUUCGACUGCAAUUUACUUAAAAAUAUGUAUUUUUAAGCAUUAUUCUAUGUUUGCCGUUCUUAUUCUUUGAUUUUUCUAAGCACUGGCCUCCAGUUAUCGUUGUGAAAAGAUAACAAACAAAAUCGUUGAAUGAUAAAUGAUAUGCUUGUUUUACAUUUGUCAUUUAGGGGCCUUUUAUAGCUGAUUAUGUGGUAUGGACUUUCAUUGUUGAAGGCCUACAGUGACCUAUAGUUGCCUCUUUCUGUGUCAUUUGGUCUCUUGUGGCAAUCAUACCAAAUCGUUUUUUUUUAUAUUUGAAUUUAAUUCAAUUGUUGAACUAGGUUUAAGCUAAAGCGACUGUAUGUCAUGGUGCUUGCCAACAAUAUAGUACAAAACACAGUAAAUAGCUUCUAAUAUAUAAAUAGUCUGUGGGAAGAACGGUUCAAAAGUGCCCAAUAUCCUUUAAGUCAUUAGAGUACUAAAAGAGAAAUCAAAAGGCGUCAAAUUUGAAGAAAAAGCAAUACUUUGUUUGUACGAAAUUUUAUAGACAAAUAAAAUUGAGAAUGGAAAUGGAAAAUAUGUCAAAGAGACAACAACCAGACAAAACAACAGAUAACAGCUACAUCUUAAAAGCCUCCAAUGGGUCUUCAACGCAGCAAAACAAAUUCCACAUCCCACCUUAAUUAAACUGAUUGAAAACGAAUGUCAUUAAAAGUUUUGUUUUUCGUUGUUGGUGUUGUAUCUAACACUUUUAUUUUAAAGAUCAACAAACCUAAUAAAAAAGCAAAAAUAAAUAAUUCAGUGAAUGUCAAGAUCAGGAUAAGUUCAAUGACGAACGAUAAUUUAAUAAUUUAUACCGGCAAGUCCGAUGUUUAAUGUCAAUGGGUUUUCCAUUUUAAAAAUAGAUCUUUGAAAUUCCCAUUUCUAAAAAAAAAACGACAACCUUAUUAAUGAACUCUCAUGUACUGAAUAUCUUUUAUUUUA
rnacentral:lncRNA from 1 species